UUUCACUUUAGUUUUUAUUAUGUGAGCCCAAAUGCAAUAGACACAGUCAUCCGGUAAGUAAGUGAAUCAUCCAAGUGAAACUCACAAACAGGCAGCUGUGCUGGCCCAUUCUUCAUUAUGCUUCACAAAGUAGAGCAGAAAACAGAAGUUGAGACCACUUUCUUUUAACUUUGUAAGAAUAUAGUGGUGUUGAGUGAUUUUAUAUCUGGUAACAGCUCACUUUAUUUUUAAUAUGUGGUAUAAAUGGCAUUUAUUGGAUGUGGUAAGGGAACACGUACAUUCCUCAUUGCUUGCAACAAAUGAGAUUUCAUGUUUGUUGUCUCCAGCGCGACUAAUGCAGGAGAUUAUGGAAACCUGGCUGCAAGUUCAAAAGGCCCUGGUGAUGCCGGGAACCCAUGCUUUGCUCACAAGAUACAUGUAACCAAAUAUCAGUAGAAGGAAAGCACUUUGAAGUUGUCAGUAGGAACUGGAGGCUAAUAAUGAAGGAGUCAGUGAAGGAGGCCAAUGGCAUGAGGGUUAUCUCACAGCCCCAGAUGCUGGAUAAGUUGAAGGAGGCAGAAUCGCUUUUGGAUGACAUUCAGAAAGGCCUGAAUGAUUAUUUGGAGAAGAAAAGACUAUUCUUUCUAAGGUAAACAGUCCAUUUCAUCUGUUGGCUGUGGGCAUUGGUAUAAAAUGUGUUUAUAUAAAUAUCUAUAAAGUUCAUUUUUUAUCACCUUUAGGUUUUUUUCUUUCUGUGCAAUGAUGAGCUCUUAGAAAUCCUUUCUGAGACAAAGGAUCCACUCCGAGACCAACCACACCUGAAGAAAUGCUUUGAAGGAAUUGCCAAGCUCACUUUUAAUCAUGAGAAAGAAAUUACUCACAUGGAGUCAGCAGAAAAUGAAAAAGUAGAGCUCGUGCUGCGAAUAAUUCCAGCAAGUGCCAAGGGGCUAGUUGAGAAAUGGCUUCAUGAGGUGAAUAUCUUUAGAUCUUACUUAGGGUUUAGUUACUGUAUAAUCAUUUUCUCUUUUAGGAGCAAGGAAUAUCAUAAGCAUAUUUCCUAAGUAAAUAGCUCUCUGAGAAUUUAUCAGAUUAUUUGACAGAUUGAAUAUCAGCCUCAUUGUUGUUAUUUAUUACAACUAAUUGACACGUGCAAUCAUGCACAAAUUAAUUUUAAUAAAGAGGUUAUCAGUGUGUGAGACA
rnacentral:lncRNA from 1 species